rnacentral:snRNA from 1 species
GUAUCAACUCUGGUUACAAUGGGAUAAUACAGAGAUGAUUAGCAUGGCUCUUGUGCAAAGUUGCAUACAAAUCCAUGAAGCAUUUCUUAUUCAA